rnacentral:lncRNA from 1 species
GGGGGGGGGGAGAAGAAGAAGAAGAAUAAAAGCGGGGUGGGGGUUGCGGAGCUCGGAAGCGAUGCUUUGCGGGGCGGGGGGUGCGGGGCGGCCGCGCGGAGAAGAAGCGGGUGCGCAGCGUUGCGCGGGUUUUGCGCGGGGGGCAGGCGCAGGGCAGCGCCGCAUCCUCGGGCCCGCAGCAACUUUUCGUUGCCCCCAACCUCCCCUCCAUCCGCACGCCGCGCAGUCCCGGCACGCUGCGCGGGUGGCUUGAAAAUAGGGGAUGGGGGGCAUAAAGGGCCGGGGCAGUUAGGCCCGCGGGUACCCGCGCAUCCCCCCCUACCUCCUUACCUGCGCGGAGCAACGAAGCGGGCGCAGCCUGCGCGCCUCAGCGCCCCCAGCCCCCCCGCACAAGCAGCAUUGCGCGGGUGCGCAGCGGCGCGCACCGGCCGCCGAGCGGGAGUGCGGGAGCCGAGCGUGGCGCUGCUGCCGGGAGUUGCGCAUCCCGCGCCGGGUCUCCGCACCGCCCCGCGGGACGGCGCUGGGGGACGGGGAGAGGGGAGGGGGGGAGCUGAGAGCAGCCCUGUAAAGUUUGGGAUCCCGGCGGAGAACCGGCACCGAGCGGCUGCGGGAGCAACGAGGGGCGAGGGGAGGCCGAGCGGGUGCUGCAGCGAGCGGGCCGCCCCAAGUUACCGACUUUGUUCGCUACAAACUAUUUUCUCGCAGCUGCGGGAGCCCGGUUGGAACCUAUUUUCUUCCCCCGCUCUUUUGGGUUUAGUAUUUGUUGUUUUGUCGGUUGUUUUUCUGUUGUUUUUUAUUUGCGUUCUGCCUUUUAGCGGCGCUCAAACCAAAGCUCCGUGGCCGUGGGGCAGCAGCUCCGUACGGCGGCUCCGCGGAGCUCCGCAGGUCGCCCCCGGGCGCGGAGCCGUUCGCCCCCCGCCGCGCUCCGCUCUCGGGGCCGGACCCGCGGCGCCACCUCCCGGCGGCAGCGCACCUGGGUGCGGGGCGGGACGUGCGUCGGUCCGUCCUUCGUGCUGCUGUCCGCAGCGAAGGGCGAAAUCCUGGAAUAAACGCUGUUUAUCAGAAACUCUCUCUGCUGUUUUUGAGUUCACAGACCUAAACCAGUAA